AAAAUCUUUACCGGCAAAUAAUUGAUAGCCGGCGAUAAAUCCUUUCGCUGACAAUUAAAAUACUUGGCUAGUAAAAGUUAUGCCGGAAAUCGCCAAUUUUUCAUAUUUCCACCAAUCUUUUCCCCAGUUCCCUCCUUCACUUUUAUACAUCAGAGAGGUUUUUCUUUUCAAAUGCCGAUUGAAAUCUCUCUCGGCUGAUACUCCCAUAUUAGCCCAAAAAUCACUCUCCAUAUCGGUUUAUCUCCCCCACUUCUCUCUCCCCCUAUAAACAAAACAAUAUUCAACUAGCAAAAAGCUAGGGCUUGAAAACCACAUAGAAGAACAGUAGCUAUCUUCUUCUAUCUUUAUAGAUUUGCUUCAAAACUGCAACGAUUACAAUCAAAGAGAGAAACUAAGUGGUCUUUUCCAAAGGGGCGGUUGGAGUUGAAAAAAAUCCUAUCGCUAUCCUUCCUCAGUUUGACUUUGCUUCUAGUAUCCUUUUCGAUGAUCCUGGAAUAUUAUAUGAGAGGAAGCAACAUGGAGUGUUUUGGAGGUGAUAAUGUGAAGAAAAUGCCCACUCGAGAAGUACCUGAGCACUAAGAAGCAGAAAAUGGCCUGGGCAAGAAGUCUAUCGCGACCGUGGUGGAACCGCGGUGAACCGCGAUAGAUUAAAAUCGUGAGGCAGAAAGGUCAGCUCUCACCGCGGUCGACCGCAAGUGACCGUGACCGCGGUGCACUGUUCACGCUGCUGGAAGUUUGAGGACCAAAGUGUAAUUUCGGGG